rnacentral:rRNA from 1 species
GGAAUCUUCCGCAAUGGGCGAAAGCCUGACGGAGCGACGCCGCGUGAGCGAUGAAGGCCUUCGGGUUGUAAAGCUCUGUGGGGAGGGAAGAAUAAGCGUAGGCCAAUACCCUACGUGAUGACGGUACCUCCUUAGCAAGCACCGGCUAACUCCGUGCCAGCAGCCGCGGUAAGACAGAGGGUGCAAACGUUGUUCGGAUUCACUGGGCGUAAAGCGCGUGUAGGCGGCUUGGUAAGUCGGAUGUGAAAGCCCGCGGCUCAACCGUGGAAGCGCAUCCGAAACUACUUCGCUCGAGUACUGGAGAGGAAGAUGGAAUGCUUGGUGUAGAGGUGAAAUUCGUAGAUAUCAAGCAGAACACCUGCGGCGAAGGCGGUCUUCUGGACAGUUACUGACGCUGAGACGCGAAAGCGUGGGGAGCA